CCUACAGUGAAGGAACCAGAUGUGCUCGACUGUGUGAAAGCCUGCUUUACAGGGUUGGAAGACUACAAUCAAGUCUGUUGAAGAAGAGGAGACCAUUCCACUGCAGGCCGAAGACAAAGCUGCAGACUCUAAAGGUUCUGACCCAAACCGUGCGACAGUGAGAAGGAACUGGAGAGGCGUUUGGUCCACCCUGCCCUUUAUUCCCUCGGUUGGAGACAUGAGGACUAUGUGCACUUCCCAUAUAAGGGCUGAAGGGCUGGCUACUAAAAAGAUUAUCACACUGCAGACUGUGGCAGAGCUUCUCCAAG